UCCGAUGUGCUAGUCCUUCUAAACCGAGGAUAGUGACUUCCCGACGUUUUUAAUAUAUGCACACAACUAAGGGUUUCGCGGGUUCCGGCAAGAGCGACGACAACGAAGACGGCGGUGCACCCUCAUCCUGCAUUGGAGGUGGGACUAGAUUAGUUCCUCAGGGUGCUAUUUAUAUUUUUUAUUUCAUUUUUUUAGGUUGCAUUGUACCAAUGCUUAUUCUCAAUGUAACCUGGGGUCCUUUUUAUAAAAAGAAAG
rnacentral:lncRNA from 1 species